rnacentral:rRNA from 1 species
GGAUGAACGCUGGCGGCGUGCCUAAUACAUGCAAGUCGAACGCACAGCGAAAGGUGCUUGCACCUUUCAAGUGAGUGGCGAACGGGUGAGUAACACGUGGACAACCUGCCUCAAGGCUGGGGAUAACAUUUGGAAACAGAUGCUAAUACCGAAUAAAACUUAGUGUCGCAUGACACAAAGUUAAAAGGCGCUUCGGCGUCACCUAGAGAUGGAUCCGCGGUGCAUUAGUUAGUUGGUGGGGUAAAGGCCUACCAAGACAAUGAUGCAUAGCCGAGUUGAGAGACUGAUCGGCCACAUUGGGACUGAGACACGGCCCAAACUCCUACGGGAGGCUGCAGUAGGGAAUCUUCCACAAUGGGCGAAAGCCUGAUGGAGCAACGCCGCGUGUGUGAUGAAGGCUUUCGGGUCGUAAAGCACUGUUGUAUGGGAAGAACAGCUAGAAUAGGAAAUGAUUUUAGUUUGACGGUACCAUACCAGAAAGGGACGGCUAAAUACGUGCCAGCAGCCGCGGUAAUACGUAUGUCCCGAGCGUUAUCCGGAUUUAUUGGGCGUAAAGCGAGCGCAGACGGUUUAUUAAGUCUGAUGUGAAAGCCCGGAGCUCAACUCCGGAAUGGCAUUGGAAACUGGUUAACUUGAGUGCAGUAGAGGUAAGUGGAACUCCAUGUGUAGCGGUGGAAUGCGUAGAUAUAUGGAAGAACACCAGUGGCGAAGGCGGCUUACUGGACUGCAACUGACGUUGAGGCUCGAAAGUGUGGGUAGCAAACAGGAUUAGAUACCCUGGUAGUCCACACCGUAAACGAUGAACACUAGGUGUUAGGAGGUUUCCGCCUCUUAGUGCCGAAGCUAACGCAUUAAGUGUCC